rnacentral:rRNA from 1 species
AAUGAACGUUGGCGGCAUGGAUUAGGCAUGCAAGUCGAGCGAGAAGGAAAUCAAAGUUUACUUUGGUUUCCGGAAAGCGGCGAAAGGGAGAGUAACGCGUAGUUAUCUACCCCAAGGCCCGGAAUAGCUGCGGGAAACUGCAGGUAAUGCCGGAUAAUAUCCCCGGAUCAAAGGUGUGAUUCCGCCUUGGGAGGAGACUGCGUUGUACUAGCUUGUUGGUAGGGUAAUGGCCUACCAAGGCUACGAUGCAUAGCGGGCGUGAGAGCGUGGCCCGUCUCACUGGGACUGAAGCACUGCCCAGACACCUACGGGUGGCUGCAGUCGAGAAUCUUCGGCAAUGGGCGAAAGGCUGACCGGGCGAUGCCGCGUGCGGGAUGAAGGCCCUCGGGUUGUAAACCGCUGUCGUAGGGGAGAAAGGACCGUUGAAGAGACGGUUUUGAUCUAUCCUAGGAGGAAGUCCGGGCUAAGUUCGUGC